UCUAAAAAUAAGUCUCUUUUUGUGUCUUUAAGAAGAGAUAAGAGACAUAUGCUUAAAUCUCAAUAUUUUGGGGUGAUCAAUAGUACUCCAAGAUCCCCAAUAGAGUUUAGACAGUCAGGGUGAUGAUAUAAAGAUGUGGCCUGGAUUAAAUUGGUCAUAAGUGGUAGAGAGGAAAAACAGAAGAUCCGGUCUCCCGGGAGAGCGAAGACAGACUAGGCAGAGAGGAGGGCCAAGGACAGAGGGGGAAAGUCCAGCUCCCACACAUUAGGAGGAAGCUGGUGACCAGUGUCAGCUUCCUCUGCAAGCUGACCUGCAGACUAUGACAUCAUGGGACAAUGCCACAUAGGGAAGGAACGGAAGGCUGGCUCAGGUGGUUUCUUAGUCGGGAUUCAUAUUGCUGUGAUAAAACACCAUGACCAAAGGCUACCUGGGGAGGAAAGGGCUUUUAUGUCAGCUUAUGACUCUGAGGUCACAUGCCAACACGGAGGAGGGAAGUCAGUGUAGGAACUCAAGGCAGGAACCUGGAGAGAGGCUCUAAAGCAGAGGCCAUGGAAGAAUGCUUACAGGUUUGCUAAGUUUGUUUUCUUCUACACCUCAUGGCCCACCUGUCCAAGGGUGGCCCCAUCCACAGUGAGCUCGGCCCUCCCAUGUCAAUCAUUAAUCAAGGAAACGCCCCCACAAGAUUCGUGAACAAGCCAAACGUACAGAGAGUAUCCCCAAAGGACUCCAAGUCACAUAGCACAGCGAUGGCUCCACAUUCGUGUUUGCUGUACUGUUCACAAAACCAGGAAACAAAGCCAGCCCAGACGUCCACCGACAGAUGACCAGACAAUGUAGUAUCCUAUGCAACCGUAAAUGGCACCUUAGUUUUUGUUUUCAGAAAGUGUCUCCUCGUGCAGUCCAGGUGAGCCUUUACCUCUUGAUCCUCCUGCCUCUGCCUCCCACGUGCUGGGAUUACAGGGUUGUGUCUUCAUCCCUGCACCAGGCCUGUGCACAUGCAUGUGUCACUAAAUCAGAGACGCACUUGAAAACCAUGUGCUCAAUCAGACAACUCGGCAAAAAUAAUAUGCAAAUUAAUGUAACUGAAAUGUAAAUUUAGAAGGUUGGCUUCUUUGAUUCAUAAAGAUCCUCUUGCACUGCCUUUGUGUAGGCUCAGAAUCCAUCCUCUACAGCCGUGGUUCCCACCUUCCCACUGUCUGGACCCUUUAAUACAGUGCCUCUUGUUGUGGGGACCCCAAGCAUAAAGUUACUUCAUUGCUGCUUCAUAACUGUAAUUUUGCUACUGUUAUAAACAUAAAUUGCUAGUUAUAAACGUAAUAUAAACAUCUGAUAGGUGACCCUCCCCCCCCAUAGGGGUCAUGACCCACAGGUUGUAAACCACUGCUCGAGGGGCUGGAGAGAUGAUUCAUCGGCUACGAGCACAUGCUGUUCUUUCAGACAACCCAAGUUCAGGUCCCAGUACCCAGUUCAACAUCGCCUGUGACUCCAGUUCUAGGAGAUCCAACACCCUUUCCUGGUCUCCCAGAAACAUGCUCACAGAUGCAUCUGUUCUCCCAUAAACACACAUGCAUAUAUAUGAUUAAAAGUAACAAAAAAUGUGUAAGGAAAAGCUGCCCUUGGAAGCUGGGCAAAGAAUGAUGUUCCUAUCAGAGGGAGAUUUGUAGCCAGGUAUGGUGGUGCAGCAUGCUACGAUUCCACUCCUUCCAAGAGGGAAGCGAGAGCACCGUGGGUGCCGGGCAUUCCAGGACAGCUGACACCACUAAAAAGGACCCUGUAAUUAAGGAAAAGAACAAGAAGAUAAUUUAUAAGACACCUAAGGUAGAAGCUACUGAGCAGUUAGAAUACAAGGUGAGUCAAGACAGGCCACCAGAGCCCUGGGAAGCAGAUGACUUUCAUGCCUUUAACCCAUUUUGGCCUCUAGGAUACCAAAGAGUCAAAUGAUUCUUGGUGUAUCUAAACUGUUCUGUUGUUCAUUUAAGCCAAUGGUCAACCCACGGGGCAUGGUUAUGAUUCCUCUCUUCUGUUGUUCUCAGUUUCUAACCGAGACUCGAGGUUUUUCCAAGUUUGCCCCCAAAUCAGAGUGAGUCAUUUGGUGCUUUAUUGCCAGUGUGCUCACUUCCUGUCUGUAGCCGUCUUGUGCUACUUCGUGGGUUCUUUUUUCUUUCAUCUUUCUCCGCCCUUUUCCCCUCCUUUCAACCCCCUAACCCUAGGUAAGAGAGAAAAAAAGGAGAAAGAGGAAAGGAGAGAGGUCCCUGAAUAAAGUCAGAGGUCAGAAGGGGGUUAGACUAUUGCCUGUUGAUUAUAGGCGUGGAGUUCCUUGGGUAUAAGUUUGAUCUUCACUAUCAGGAUAUCUAGUUUCUUCCUUUCUUUCUUUCUUUCCUUCUUUCUUUCUUUUUUUUUUUUGUUUCUUCUUUGCACGUGACUACUUAAAAAUAGCAACCAACAACAACCGACAGCAACCAGCAAGUACCAGCCUGCAACCCCUCCUGGGCCCCAGAAUUCCAAAUGUCACACAACUGUAGAAACUACCUGCCUGAUCUAGCAAGAUCACACCCUUGCUAGGACACGAGGCAAAUCAUAGUCAGCUGCUGGGAGGCAGCCUCAUAUCCCCACACCUGAGAUUAAAACGAAAACAUGUGCUUGUAAUAUUUCUGCGUUUUUAGAAGAAACCAAGAUUCCAAAGUUGACACUCCACCUAUCCCUCCCUUCAGCGGGGAAUGGCUGAGCGCACCACUUUCUUUCUCUGCAUGGGGUACUCUUUUUGCUAUUGUAACAAAGCACAGGACAGAGCAGCUUAAAGAAGGACGAGUUUAUUUGCAACGUAUACACAAAAAUCAGAACUGGGGCCAGGGACACCCUUGGGUCUGUACAGCACUUACAUUCAGAACACGAAGAUCUGAGCUUGGAUCACCAUAACCUGCAAAAGGGAGUGAUCUCUUCCUGGAACACCUGUAGUCCUAGCAACGGCAAGAGGGGACGUAGAGACAGGCAGACUCUGGAAGCUCACAGGCUAGCUAACCUGGUAUAGGUGGUCAAGUUCCAGGCCAAUGAGAGACACUGUCUCUAAGGAAGAUGGGAGACUUCUAGAAAUGAUAUCUGAUUAUCUUUUGAAAUCUAUCGGUGUGACACUCACAAGUGCACACUCCUCAAACAUGAACACACACACAUACACACACAUACACACACACAUACACACACAUACACACACACAUACACACACAUACACACACAUACACACAUACACACACACACACAUACACACACAUACACACACAUACACACACAUGCACACACACAUACACACACAUACACACACAUGCACACACACAUACACACAUACACACACAUACACACACAUACACACACUACACACACAUACACACACAUACACACACAUACAUACACACACAUACACACACACACACACAUACACACACAUACACACACAUACACACACACAUACACACACAUACACACAUACAUACACACACAUACACACAUACACACACAUACACACACAUACACACACAUACACACACAUACACACACAUACAUACACACACAUACACACACAUACACACACAUACACACACAUGCACACACACAUACACACACAUACACACAUACACACAUACACACACACAUACAUACACACACAUACACACACAUACACACACACCACACACACACACACCACACCACACACCCAUAUGCUUUUUGGAAGGUAGCAACAUCGGGUAAACAGCUUGAGGUACCAGAACACUCCUCAGACCAUAGGGCCUAGUGGAACUGAAGGCAACAGGCAAGCUGCAUUCUACCUCACUUGUAGUUGUAGGUGGCCAUGAAUGAGCCACACAAGCACGUGACAGGGCUGCAAGGCUGGGUAGAGCACUGUGUCUCUGGCUUUUUCUAUGCCUUGAUACACAGGGCAAAAGAUGACUUACAGAAAAACUCUGUGAGGUCAGACUCCAUGAGCACCACACAAGAAAACAUUUCUCAAGUCAGCGGCCAGAAAUGGAGGGACGAGGAAUGAAGCAUCAGGCACCGCCUCAAAGGGGUAGCCUCAUUCUUAUCCCUUGUUUGUUCCAGAAGUGUGUGUUGGGGAGGAGGCGUUAUCUAUCUCCCAGCCAUUUGAGCCAACCCACACAUCUUGACUUAUCUUUAAUGAGAGUCAUUUUCCAACAUGUAGCAUGCUAAUUGACAAGGCAUUAAUUUCAGCAAUAAAAACAAAUGUUGAUACUCAUUUGCAAAUAAAAAGAAGCACUGGCUGUUGAUUGAUGGAUCCCCAGCAGAGGGAAGUGUAAGCCACCUCAGGAGUUAAUUCUCUGUGAGGAAUGCUAACUGACCUCCCUCCCUCCCUCCCUCGGAUGGAUGGAUGCCUUCUGAUAGCCACCGAUUAGCAGCAACACCAUGUUACCCUGGUUUUGCUAACAGACCUAAAAGGAGGUUACAGAAAUACACCAUGAUUUAGGACAAUUUAGGUUAACUGACAUCACAUGACUUAAGUUUUCACAAAGAGAAGUAACCAGACCCCGGUGGCUCUGAGCCUGGAUGGAUUUUUUUCCAGUUUCCAUUCACAGCCCGUGCUUCCCCAAACAUGAUGUGUAUGGGAAUGUGACUCACAUGUCCUUGGUCAUUUUCUUCUGGAAGCUUCUACCAGGAUUCCAUUCUUCUGGACUUAGGUCAGGACUCUGCUCCUCGGUAAGGGUAUACUUCCCAAACCUCAACUGUCCCUGACUGUUUGGAAGCCGAUGUUUAUACACUGGGUCUGUCAGGAUUCUAGUUACUUGCUCUCCACGAGGUUCCCAUUUGUCUCAGACGCUGUCAUACAAGUUAAGCUUCAUUUAACUUCAAUAGUUGUCAUAUGGUGUUUGCUUCAUGUUACCUCGAAUUCCACAUCAACCAGGGAUAGAAAACUUCCUCUUUUGGCAGAGCUAAGGAUGGAAUGGAAGGGCCUUGCUGGGCGGCAACCUCCCAUGCCCACCCCCAACCCUGACUGGUAGGGAACUUCUUGAGGAGAAAGGAUGUUUUCUUGAUUUUUUUUUUAUUCUUAUUUCCAGGGCCCGCUGCAUUCCCUGGCACUUAUUUAUUUAGUUAUUUUUACAUGUAUUUAUUUUUAGGUUUUCACACCUGAGUAGUAUAUAUUUUUUUCUUUUACUUAUCCACUUUAUAUCCAGCUCCCUGCCCCCCUUUAUGGUUACCCCCUCCACAAUCCUUCCCUCCAUCCCCCCUUCUCCUCUGAGAGGCGAGAGCCCCCCACCCUGUAUCCCCCACUUGGGCAAGCAUCGGUCCCCGACACUAUUCAUGAUACUCUGUUGUGCUUGCAGACAGGAGCCUAGCGUGGCUGUCCUCUGAGAGGCUCCCCCUAGUAGUUCACUCACACAGGUGCAGACAUCCACAGCCAAACAGCAGAUGGAGUUUGGGGACUCUAUGAAAGAAUUGGGGGAAAUAGGGCAUUUAGUGGCUGUUAGGCAAAAGGAAUGUGGCUGAGUUAAUGCUGUCUAGGGGAAGACAUUUUCAUCCUAGUAUUCGUUCACAGGAGAGAAGACUACUGCUCAUACAAUAGGUCAUGUUUUCACAACCUUCACCGUAUGCCAGCCUCUGUCAUAAGCGGCUUGUGUGCAGAUACUCGUUUAAUUUAUACGACAACCUUAAUGCAUCAACCACCCAUAUCUCCAUCCUACAGAAGAGGCACUAUAAACGCAGAGAAGUUAAUAAGAUCACACAGGCAACGAGAAAGCCAGGAUUUGAACUCAAAAACUCCAAACUACUCAUCUACGAUCUAUGAGUGAGGACGUACUGCACAGGGUAAAGAGGCCUCUCCAUCCCUACCGCACAUUUUAGACAAAUUAACAUAUUAAGUGGUUUCCGAUAGGCUUCUGCCAGCCAAAUGGCUCUGAGGCAUCCUUAGCCUGGGGAUGAACUUGGUUUGUUUUAUCAGACAGGAAAAGUUACAGCAACCAGCAGGCAGAGACUAUGGGGAGCGGAGUAUCAGGCACAGGACCUCACUGCCUCAGAUCCACAGGAGUGGCACAGCCCUCCUCUGGUCCAUCUGUGUUUACGAACGAAUGACCAGCACGUGCACGAAGAGAGUAGCUGCAGCUUUCUCCUCCUGGAUGUUCACAGCCUGACACUGCAGUCCAUGGACACCUCCACCCAUGCCUAGCUAACUCCAGUACCCUGCACUGGAGGGUCUGAGGCUCUGGGUCGUUAUUGUAUUACUGAUGCUACUUCAUCCACCAGAAUGAGCACAGCCUGCCCAACCCCAGCUCAUCUGAUCGUGUGUCUCUGACUUUCCUUCGCUCUCUCAUCUCUGCACACAACACCACAGGAAACAGGUUUUACUUUUUUUUUUUUAAGAUUCGUUUAUUUAUUUUAUGUACACAAGUACAACUGUCGCUGUCUUCAGACACACCAGAAGAAGGCAUCAGAUCCCAUUACAGAUGGUUGUGAGCCACCAUGUGGUUGCUGGGAAUUGAACUCAGGACCCCUGGAAGAGCAGUCAGUGCUCUUAACCACUGAGCCAUCCCUCCGGCCCCAGUUUUUAUUCUUCUAGUGGAUUCUUUAUGUGGUUUUGAGUGGGCGUGUAUGGUGCAGGAGGUUGCAGAGAGACUGCUAGGAAGACAGGAGAAAGAAAAUGGUGAGAGAGAGAGAGAGAGAGAGAGAGAGAGAGAGAGAGAGAGAGAGCGCCUUCCUUUAACUCUGUGUCACUGGGGCAGACCUAGUCUCAGAGAUGCUGAGUAAGGCAGGGAUCUGAGAGCCAACUCCCAAGGCCAUGGUAACCCUGUUAUUGGCCAUGCAAGGUGAACUGGCUGGUUCUGUGUGUCAACUUGACACAAGCUAGAGUUAUCACAGAAAAAGAGCCUCAGUUGUGGAAAUGCCUCCAUGAGACCCAGCUGUAAGGCGUUUUCUCAACUAGUGGUCAAGGUGGGAGGACCCAGACCAUUGUGGAUGGUGCCAUCCCUGGGCUGGUGGUCUUGGGUUCUAUAAGAAAGCAAGCUGAGCAAGCCGGCAAGUAACAUCCCUCCAUGGCCUCUGCAUCAGUUCCUGCUUCCUGACCUGCUUGAGUUCCAGUCCUGACUUCCUUUGGUGAUGAACAGCAAUGUGGAAGUGUAAGCUGAAUAAACCCUUUCCUCCCCAACUUGCUUCUUGGUCAUGAUGUUUGUGCAGGAAGACAAACCCUGACUAAGACACAGAACCUCCUAUUGUUAUAGAGAACAAGAACUCUCUCUCUCUCUCUCUCUCUCUCUCUCUCUCUCUCUCUCUCUCUGUGUGUGUGUGUGUGUGUGUGUGUGUGUGUGUGUGUGUGUGUGUGUGUGAA